rfam:Streptomyces albus strain DSM 41398, complete genome.
CUUGAGGGAGCCGAGCCACAGGGGCCGGUCCGCGGGCCGGUCCUGCCCGUAGGUCGCGAGGAGCGCCUGCGCCUC